GUAGAAUCAUCUUUCAAACUGAUUUGAAGCAUGUUCUUCUGAUCUAACAAGAUCUGCAUACAGAGCAAGAAAGCUUCAAAAGAAGCCAUUGUGAGGAUAACACUGGAAAAUCUGAAGUGAACCCAUUUAGCAGCUGUUCUCAGUUCGAGGCUUAAACUCUCCUCUUCUCCUGGCAUGGUGACCAUUGCUGCAUGCAGAGGAAGGCUGCACUGGAUUCCUCCUCUGCCUUUACCUGUGAAACAGCUCCUGUGAGAGGAAAACUCUGCAAUGUCCCUGUGGAUCAGAAGCCUGCUGUGCCAAUCCAUUGACUCUUCCUCUGAGAGGCCCCUUGAAAUCACAAGUGCUUAUUUUGCUUCAGUGGAAUUAGAUGGUAGAGAAAACCCGGUUUCAUUGCCUUCUGAGUUGAUGUCUGUCUCUUCAUCUUGCCUGCAGCUUUUUGUGGGAAGCCCUGUAAUUGGCUGCCACCUUUUAUCUGCAGGCUGUACCACCUUAACACCUGCUGGCCAUACCACCUUAACAUCUGCUCUCUGUACCACUUUAAAUUAUGUUAAUCAGCCCGCCUUAUGAGCCCACACCCGGGAAAUUUGAAUUGACCUGUAACCAUGGGUCCUGCCACUGCUGCUAAGUUAUCUGCUGAUGUCUCAAAACCCAAACCCCUCCUCCUCAAUACUUAUAUAUUUGUUACUCCUUCCGUGAAUAAAGGAGACUUCAUUGGAAUUCUUCA